UACGUAGGAUGCGAGCGUUGUCCGGAAUUAUUGGGCGUAAAGAGAACGUAGGCGGUUUUAUAAGUUCGGUUUUAAAGACCGUGGCUCAACCUCGGGAGUGGACUGAAGACUGUAAGACUAGAGGAUGUCAGAGGAAGGUGGAAUUCCCAGUGUAGCGGUGAAAUGCGUAGAUAUUGGGAGGAACACCUGUGGCGAAAGCGGCCUUCUGGGGCAUACCUGACGCUGAGGUUCGAAAGCUCGGGGAGCAAACAGGAUUAGAUACCCUGGUAGUCCGAGCCGUAAACGAUGGACACUGGGUGUAGAGGGUAUCGACCCCCUCUGUGCCGUAGCUAACGCGUUAAGUGUCCCGCCUGGGGAGUACGGUCGCAAGACUGAA
rnacentral:rRNA from 1 species